CUGCGAGGCCAUUCGUGACCGAUAGUGCGUGGUUGUCGUCAGGCCGUUGCGCGAGAUGUUGGGUUAAGGCCCGCAACGAGCGCAACCCUUGUCUUUAGUUGCCCUCAUUAAGUUGGGCACUCUAGAGAGACUGCCAGGGAUAACCUGGAGGAAGGUGGGGAUGACGUCAAAUCAUCAUGCCCCUUAUGCUUAGGGCUACACACGUGCUACAAUGGGUAGUACAGAGGGUUGCCAAGCCGUAAGGUGGAGCUAAUCCCUUAAAGCUACUCUCAGUUCGGAUUGUAGGCUGAAACUCGCCUACAUGAAGCUGGAGUUACUAGUAAUCGCAGAUCAGAAUGCUGCGGUGAAUGCGUUCCCGGGUCUUGUACACACCGCCCGUCACACCACGGGAGUUGGAGACGCCCGAAGCCGAUUAUCUAACCUUUUGGAAGAAGUCGUCGAAGGUGGAAUCAAUAACUGGGGUGAAGUCGUAACAAGGUAGCCGUAUCGGAAGGUGCGGCUGGAUCACCUCCUUUCUAAGGA
rnacentral:rRNA from 1 species